rfam:Ictidomys tridecemlineatus contig064839, whole genome shotgun sequence.
UAGAGUGCUCACCUCAGCAACAUUAAAAUUUGAAUGACAUAGAAAAAAAAUUGGCAUAGCCCCUGCACAAGGAUGGCACAAAUAUUCAUAUAUUUUAAAAAAUGAUAU